GAUGAACGCUGGCGGCGUGCCUAAUACAUGCAAGUCGAGCGAACAGAUGAGGAGCUUGCUCCUAUGACGUUACCGGCGAACGGGUGAGUAACACGUGGAUAACCGACCUAUAAGACUGGGAUAACUUCGGGAAACCGGAGCUAAUACCGGAUAAUAUCUUGAACCGCAUGGUUCAAUAGUGAAAGACGGUUUUGCUGUCACUUAUCGAUGGAUCCGCGCCGCAUUAGCUAGUUGGAAAGGUAAGGGCUUACCAAGGCAGCGAUGCGUAGACGACCUGGGAGGGUGGUCGGCCACCCGGGAAGUGAACCGCGCUCAAUGCGCCUACGGGAGGCAGCAGUAUGGAAUCUGCCGCAGUAGGCGGAAACCUUACGCAGCGACCGCGCGUCAGUGAUGAAGGUCUUCGGAUCGUAAAGCUGUGUUAUGAGUGGUGAACAAAUGUGUAAGUAACUAUGCAGGUCUUGACGGUACCUGAUCAGAAAGCCACGGCUAACUACGUG
rnacentral:rRNA from 1 species